rnacentral:tRNA from 1 species
CUUGGAUAGUUUAUAAAAAAUACUAGUUUGUGGGGCUAGGGAAGCGUUAUUGUUUCAAGUAUUGUUAAGU